rnacentral:rRNA from 1 species
UACAGAGGUCUCAAGCGUUGUUCGGAUUCAUUGGGCGUAAAGGGUGUGUAGGCUGGCGCGUAAGUCGGGUGUGAAAUUCGACGGAGCUUAACUCCGAAACUGCAUUCGAUACUGGCCGUGCUUGAGGACUGGAGAGGAGACUGGAAUUUACGGUGUAGCGGUGAAAUGCGUAGAUAUCGUAAGGAAGACCAGUGGCGAAGGCGGGUCUCUGGACAGUUCCUGACGCUGAGGCACGAAGGUCAGGGGAGCAAACGGGG